rnacentral:rRNA from 1 species
UACGUAGGGGGCGAGCGUUGUCCGGAUUUAUUGGGCGUAAAGAGCGUGUAGGCGGCCAGGUAGGUCUGCUGUGAAAACUCGAGGCUCAACCUCGAGAUGUCGGCGGAAACCGUCUGGCUAGAGUCCGGAAGAGGAGAGUGGAAUUCCUGGUGUAGCGGUGAAAUGCGCAGAUAUCAGGAAGAACACCUAUGGCGAAGGCAGCUCUCUGGGACGGUACUGACGCUGAGACGCGAAAGCGUGGGGAGCGAACAGG